CUCACUAGCUCCCACACCCUCAGCCUCACUACCCCCCCCCACACCCUCAGCCUCACUAGUGAUGCUGAGGGUGGUGUGGGGGGUAGUGAGGCUGAGGGUGUGGGGGGGUAGUGAG